AGUGAACGCUGGCGGCGUGCCUAAUACAUGCAAGUCGAACGAAGUGGCGCACGGGUGGGUAAUAUAUAGUUAAUCUGCCCUACACAGAGGAACAACAGUUGGAAACGACUGCUAAUACCUCAUAGUGUAGGAUGAGACUAUAUCGUAUCAGCUAGUUGGUAAGGUAAUGGCUUACCAAGGGUAUGACGCGUAACUGGUCUAAGAGGAUGAUCAGUAACAUCGGAACUGAGACACGGUCCAGACUCCUACGGGAGGCAGCAGUAAGGUAUAUCACUCAAUGGGGGAGUCCCUUACGGAGCAUCGCGGCGUGGAGGAUGACACUUUGCGGAGAGUAAACUCCUUUUAUCAGGAAAGCGGUACCUGAUGAAUAAGCACCGGCUAACUCCGUGCCAGCAGCCGCGGUAAUAC
rnacentral:rRNA from 1 species